GGGCGCGUAGCUCAGCUGGUUAGAGCGCGUCACUCACAUUGACGAGGUCAGGGGUUCAAGUCCCUUCGCGCCCACCA
rnacentral:tRNA from 3 species